UACGGGGGGAGCAAGCGUUGUUCGGAUUUACUGGGCGUAAAGGGCGCGUAGGCGGCCACCGCAAGUCAGUUGUGAAAUCUCCGGGCUUAACCCGGAAAGGUCAGCCGAUACUGCGGGGCUAGAGUGCAGAAGGGGCAACUGGAAUUCUCGGUGUAGCGGUGAAAUGCGUAGAUAUCGAGAGGAACACCUGCGGCGAAGGCGGGUUGCUGGGCUGACACUGACGCUGAGACGCGAAAGCUAGGGGAGCGAACGGG
rnacentral:rRNA from 1 species